rnacentral:rRNA from 1 species
AUACUACUAUACACCCUGAACAUGUCUGAUUUCAGAAGAUAAUCAAGGUCAGGCCUGCUUAGCACUUGGAUGGAAGACUAGAUGUAAUACCAGGAU